GAUGAACGCUGGCGGCGUGCCUAAUACAUGCAAGUCGAGCGAACAGACGAGGAGCUUGCUCCUCUGACGUUAGCGGCGGACGGGUGAGUAACACGUGGAUAACCUACCUAUAAGACUGGGAUAACUUCGGGAAACCUGAGCUAAUACCGGAUAAUAUAUUUAACCGCAUGGUUCAAUAGUGAAAGACGGUUUUGCUGUCACUUAUAGAUGGAUCCGCGCCGCAUUAGCUAGUUGGUAAGGUAACGGCUUACCAAGGCAACGAUGCGUAGCCGACCUGAGAGGGUGAUCGGCCACACUGGAACUGAGACACGGUCCAGACUCCUACGGGAGGCAGCAGUAGGGAAUCUUCCGCAAUGGGCGAAAGCCUGACGGAGCAACGCCGCGUGAGUGAUGAAGGUCUUCGGAUCGUAAAACUCUGUUAUUAGGGAAGAACAAAUGUGUAAGUAACUAUGCACGUCUUGACGGUACCUAAUCAGAAAGCCACGGCUAACUACGUG
rnacentral:rRNA from 1 species